GACGAACGCUGGCGGCGUGCUUAACACAUGCAAGUCGAGCGGUAAGGCCCUUUCGGGGGUACACGAGCGGCGAACGGGUGAGUAACACGUGGGUGACCUGCCCUCAGCUCUGGGAUAAGCCUGGGAAACUGGGUCUAAUACCGGAUAUGACCCCAUGACGCAUGUCGUGGGGUGGAAAGCCUUGUGCGGCUGAGGAUGGGCCCGCGGCCUAUCAGCUUGUUGGUGGGGUGAUGGCCUACCAAGGCGACGACGGGUAGCCGGCCUGAGAGGGCGACCGGCCACACUGGGACUGAGACACGGCCCAGACUCCUACGGGAGGCAGCAGUGGGGAAUCUUGCGCAAUGGGCGAAAGCCUGACGCAGCGACGCCGCGUGAGGGAUGACGGCCUGG
rnacentral:rRNA from 1 species